UGUCUGGCUUCUUUUUUCUUUCUUUUUUUUGAGACAGAGUUUUCCUCUUGUUGCCCAGGCUGGAGUGCAGUGGUGCGAUCUCAGCUCACAGCAACCUCCGCCUCCCGAGUGCAAACGAUUCUCCUGCCUCAGCCUCCCUAAUAGCUGGGAUUGCAGGCAUGCACCACCACACCUGGCUAAUUUUGUAUGUCUGGCUUCUUUCUCAGCAUUAUGUUUUCAAGGUUCAUCUAUGUUAUAGAAUGUAUCAGUAUUUCAUUCCUUUUUAUGGGCAAAUAAUAUUCCAUUGUGUACAUAUAUUACAUUUUGUUUAUCCAUCAAUUUAUGGACACAGGUUGUUUUUACUUUUAGCUAUAACAAAUGAUACUGCUAUGAACAUUAGUGCACAAGUUUUUAUGUGAACAUACGUUUUCCAUUCUCUUGGGUAUACAGCUAGGAGUAGAA
rnacentral:lncRNA from 1 species